rnacentral:lncRNA from 1 species
CCCCCUUAUUCUUCACAUGAGAAAUAUUUUUGUGUGAUUUUUCUCAUGCCCAGAAGCCUUUUUUAUAUUUUUAUCUGAUUUUUUUUGAAUUAAAAAUUGGUUGGUUUAAAUUUAAGUUCAAAUAGGUUUGAAUUUGAAUGAAAACCUAGAGUCUAAAUUGUGUUGGACUCUCCUCUUCAUGCCACCAUUUUUCUCCACACAUAAAGUAUUUUUGCAUGAGAUUUUUUACACUAUUCUGAUGUUGGUCAAC